ensembl:lncRNA
UAUACAGUGAUGAUGUACAUGUACGUUAAGGAAGCACUUCAUGGUGUUGAUGCUCUCUCUCUCUCUCUCUCUCUCUCUCUCUCUCUCUCUCUCUCUCUCUCUCUCUGUGAUAUUGACAGCAUUAUUCUCAAGCGUGGACAGUGUGAACCGAAAGCAAACUCUUAGCACCAUUUCAAACUUUGCAAACAGUCUAUGCAGAAAAUAAUCAUCAUGACUUUAUUAUAAGGAAGCUCUGGAGUGCGUUUCAUAAUUAUUAUAUACUACAUACAUUAUAUAUACAUACAGUACUGUAAUAUUCCAAUAUGUGCUUCAUUUCUCGCCUUAUUUCUGUUACAGAGAGCAGAAUCAGCUGAGUGUAAAGGUGAGUGUGUGUGAGUGUGUGUGUGUGUGUGUGUGUGUGUGUUUCCAUCCAGAUUGUUGAUGCUGAUCAACAGAAAUCAAACAGCUUUUAAAAAUAAAUAUUCUAGAUGUAUUGCCAUAAAACCUAAACAUUGCUAAGUAGUGAACAUUACAUGUCUCUUUCUGUCUGUCUGUCUGACCGUCUGUCUGUCUGUCUGUCUCUCUCUCUCUCUCUCUCUCUCUCUCUCUCAGUAUUUAACAUCAGGGGCGAAGCGCACUACAGCCUUGCUGCGAGGUUCCUGUGGCUCCUGCUCUCCUCCAGAAGUCCCAGAGGAAUAAAAAUCGCUGACUCGUCCAACUGCAGACUCUGAUUCACUAGGGUUAGGAUGGAGAGAGACGGGGAAAGAGAGCGAGACAGAGAGAGAGAGUGAGAGAGACAGACAGACAGAGAGAGAGAGAGAGAGAGAGAUAAGACAUUUCAUCCAGUUCAAGUGGAAAUGAAGCCUUGAACAUCCCGUGUGUUGUUAUUAGCAUUAGUGUAUUAUUACUAGGCUGUUUAUUAUGAUCAGAUUUUGCUGAGUGACAGGAGGGCGGAGCUUAGGUUAAAUCAACUCGGACAAUUACAAACUUGAUUAAAUGACAUCACCAUGAGCAUUUCUUUUCAUCUUUUCCAGCUCACUGCAUUCUAUCUGAACGAAUCACUUUUUUAAGAAAACAACACUUUUCUGGCUACGAGCUUCAGGAUCUUGCAGGUUGCAAUCUGGCUCUUCAGACCAAAUCAAACCAAACCAGUCGUUUAGAUUAGAUUUAGAGUUGAGCUUAAUUCUGCACGGGUUUGUCAGGUUGUUCAAGACUUCAAAAUGUUCAGGUAAGACUACAACAAAAACACAAACACACACAAAAUACAAUCAACACACACUGUAAAUAAUAUACACUGUACACAAACUACACAAUAUGCUCUAGGAUGAAGCAACUGAUCACAUCGUCUCGUCUAAAGAUGUUACGUACAAAACUCAAAUCUUAUAUUAUAUGAUCAAAAUACAGUUUGUUUCGAAUUAUGUGGAUGUGUGAGCAGACGCUUAGGCCAUUGUUUAUAAUUGAGGUCCCAUUACCGAAACUUGUGGCGUGAUAUAUCGAUAUAUCGGACAAUUAAUCAGUGAAAUUCAUACUGGGAGAUAUUUCAGAUAUAUCACACUAACACCGUUUUAAAUAUAUCUGAUGAAAUAUCGGAUAUAUCAGAUAAUCAUGGUGGAAUAUAUCGGACGAUAUAUCGGACAUAUCAGAUAAUCAUGGUGAAAUAUCAGAUGAUAUAUAUCGGACAUAUCAGAUAAUCAUGAUGAAAUACAUCAGAUGAUAUAUCGGGACAUCAGAUAACCAUGGUGAGAUAUAUCGGACGAUAUAUCGGACAGCAGAUAAUCAUGGUGAGAUAUAUCGGACGAUAUAUCGGACAUCAGAUAAUCAUGGUGAGAUAUAUCGGACGGCAUAUCAGACAUAUCAGAUAAUCAUGGAGAAAUAUAUCAGAUGAUAUAUCGGACAUAUUAGAUAAUCGUGUUGAGAUAUAUCAGACGAUAUAUCGGACAUAUCAGAUAUUCAUGGUGAGAUAUAUCAGACGAUAUCUCGGACAUAUCAGAUAAUCAUGGUGACAUAUAUCAGACAAUAUAUCGGACAUAUCAGAUAAUCAUGGUGGGAUAUAUCGGAGGAUAUAUUGGACAUAUCAGAUAAUCAUGGUGAGAUAUAUCGGACGAUAUAUCAGACAUAUCAGAUAAUCAUGGUGAGGUAUAUCAGAUGGCAUAUCAGACAUAUCAGAUAAUCAUGGAGAAAUAUAUCAGACGAUAUAUCGGACAUAUCAGAUAAUCAUGGUGAGAUAUAUCAGACGAUAUAUUGGACAUAUCAGAUAAUUGUGAGAUAUAUCAGACGAUAUAUCGGAC